rnacentral:rRNA from 3 species
UGGGGAAUCUUGCGCAAUGGGCGAAAGCCUGACGCAGCCAUGCCGCGUGGAUGAUGAAGGUCUUAGGAUUGUAAAAUCCUUUCACCGGUGAAGAUAAUGACUGUAGCCGGAGAAGAAGCCCCGGCUAACUUCGUGCCAGCAGCCGCGGUAAUACGAAGGGGGCUAGCGUUGCUCGGAAUUACUGGGCGUAAAGGGAGCGUAGGCGGACAUUUAAGUCAGGGGUGAAAUCCCAGAGCUCAACUCUGGAACUGCCUUUGAUACUGGGUGUCUUGAGUGUGAGAGAGGUAUGUGGAACUCCGAGUGUAGAGGUGAAAUUCGUAGAUAUUCGGAAGAACACCAGUGGCGAAGGCGACAUACUGGCUCAUUACUGACGCUGAGGCUCGAAAGCGUGGGGAGCAAACAGG